GAAAGUUUUUUCGGUUGGGGAUGGGCUCGCGGCCUAUCAGCUUGUUGGUGGGGUGAUGGCCUACCAAGGCGACGACGGGUAGCCGGCCUGAGAGGGCGACCGGCCACACUGGGACUGAGACACGGCCCAGACUCCUACGGGAGGCAGCAGUGGGGAAUAUUGCGCAAUGGGCGGAAGCCUGAGCCAGCGACGCCGCGUGGGGGAUGACGGCCUUCGGGUUGUAAACCUCUUUCAGCAGGGACGAAGUUGACGUGUACCUGUAGAAGAAGCGCCGGCUAACUACGUGCCAGCAGCCGCGGUAAUACGUAGGGCGCGAGCGUUGUCCGGAAUUAUUGGGCGUAAAGAGCUCGUAGGUGGCUUGUUGCGUCUGCCGUGAAAGCCCGUGGCUUAACUACGGGUCUGCGGUGGAUACGGGCAGGCUAGAGGCUGGUAGGGGCAAGCGGAAUUCCUGGUGUAGCGGUGAAAUGCGCAGAUAUCAGGAGGAACACCGGUGGCGAAGGCGGCUUGCUGGG
rnacentral:rRNA from 1 species